GGGCACAUGGUGUAGUUGGUUAUCACAUCCGCUUAGCAUAACAGACAGAUCGUGUAAGCUUGCGGGGGGUGCUGGGUUCAAUUCCCAGUGUGUCCA